CCCCUAGAUGUUCUGGGCCGCACGCGCGCUACACUGAACAGUUCAACAAGUCUUAACCUUGGCCGAUAGGUCUGGGUAAUCUUUGAACGCUGUUCGUGAUUGGGAUAGACCUUUGCAAUUAUGGGUCUUCAACGAGGAAUUCCUAGUAAACGCAAGUCAUCAGCUUGCAUUGAUUACGUCCCUGCCCUUUGUACACACCGCCCGUCGCACCUACCGAUUGAAUGGUCCGGUGAAAUCUCGGGACGGCGGCUUGGUCGCUUGCGUCCGACUGCUGAAACUUGAUUAAACCAUAUCAUUUAGAGGAAGAUGAAGUCGUAACA
rnacentral:rRNA from 1 species